rnacentral:rRNA from 1 species
CCUACGGGAGGCUGCAGUGAGGAAUCUUGGUCAAUGGGCGCGAGCCUGAACCAGCCAAGUAGCGUGAAGGAUGACUGCCCUACGGGUUGUAAACUUCUUUUAUAAGGGAAUAAUAAGAGUCACGUGUUGCUUUUUGUGUGCACUUUAUGAAUAAGGCUCGGCUAACUCCGUGCCAGCAGCAGCGGUAAUACGGAGGGUCCGAGCGUUUUACUGAUUUAUUGGGUUUAAAGGGAGCGUAGAUGGGUGGUUAAGUCAGUUGUGAAAGUUUGCGGCUCAACCGUAAGAUUGCAAUUGAUACUGGCAGUCUUGAGUAAAGUUGAGGUAGGCGGAAUUCGUGGUGUAGCGGUGAAAUGCUUAGAUAUCACGAAGAACUCCGAUUGCGAAGGCAGCUUACUAAACUGCCACUGACAUUGAUGCUCGAAAGUGUGGGGAUCAAACAGGAUUAGAUACCCGGGUAGUC